ensembl:miRNA Mir409 microRNA mir-409
UUGAUACCGAAAAGGGGUUCACCGAGCAACAUUCGUCCUCCAGAUGCAAAGUUGCUCGGGUAACCUCUCUCCGAGUACCA